rnacentral:rRNA from 1 species
UGGGGAAUAUUGGACAAUGGGCGCAAGCCUGAUCCAGCCAUGCCGCGUGUGUGAUGAAGGCCUUAGGGUUGUAAAGCACUUUCACCGGAGAAGAUAAUGACGGUAUCCGGAGAAGAAGCCCCGGCUAACUUCGUGCCAGCAGCCGCGGUAAUACGAAGGGGGCUAGCGUUGUUCGGAAUUACUGGGCGUAAAGCGCACGUAGGCGGAUCGAUCAGUCAGGGGUGAAAUCCCGCAGCUCAACUGCGGAACUGCCUUUGAUACUGUCGGUCUAGAGUAUGGAAGAGGUGAGUGGAAUUCCGAGUGUAGAGGUGAAAUUCGUAGAUAUUCGGAGGAACACCAGUGGCGAAGGCGGCUCACUGGUCCAUUACUGACGCUGAGGUGCGAAAGCGUGGGGAGCAAACA